rnacentral:piRNA from 1 species
UUUGUUUACUUAUUGAAAGGUGGGGCGGC